GGACCCGCACAAGCGGCGGAGCAUGCGGAUUAAUUCGAUGCAACGCGAAGAACCUUACCAAGGCUUGACAUAUAGAGGAAAGUUCUGGAAACAGUUCCCCCGCAAGGUCUCUAUACAGGUGGUGCAUGGUUGUCGUCAGCUCGUGUCGUGAGAUGUUGGGUUAAGUCCCGCAACGAGCGCAACCCUCGUUCUAUGUUGCCAGCACGUUAUAGGUGGGAACUCAUGGGAUACUGCCGGGGUCAACUCGGAGGAAGGUGGGGAUGACGUCAAAUCAUCAUGCCCCUUAUGUCUUGGGCUUCACGCAUGCUACAAUGGCCGGUACAAAGGGCUGCAAUGCCGUGAGGUGGAGCGAAUCCCAAAAAGCCGGUCCCAGUUCGGAUUGAGGUCUGCAACUCGACCUCAUGAAGUCGGAGUCGCUAGUAAUCGCAGAUCAGCAACGCUGCGGUGAAUACG
rnacentral:rRNA from 1 species